AGUGAACGCUGGCGGUAGGCCUAACACAUGCAAGUCGAACGGCAGCACAGUAAGAGCUUGCUCUUACGGGUGGCGAGUGGCGGACGGGUGAGGAAUACAUCGGAAUCUACUUUUUCGUGGGGGAUAACGUAGGGAAACUUACGCUAAUACCGCAUACGACCUACGGGUGAAAGCAGGGGAUCUUCGAACCUUCCUGGAUUGAAUGAGCCGAUGCCGGUUUAGCUAGUUGGCGGGGUAAAGCCCCACCAAGCCGAGGAUCCGUAGCUGGUCUGCGAGGAUGAUCAGCCACACUGGAACUGAGACACGGUCCAGACUCCUACGGGAGGCAGCAGUGGGGAAUAUUGGACAAUGGGCGCAAGCCUGAUCCAGCCAUACCGCGUGGGUGAAGAAGGCCUUCGGGUUGUAAAGCCCUUUUGUUGGGAAAGAAAAGCAGCAGGUUAAUACCCCGCUGUUCUGACGGUACCCAAAGAAUAAGCACCGGCUAACUUCGUG
rnacentral:rRNA from 1 species